rnacentral:rRNA from 1 species
CGGGGCUUAAUGUCUUGUAAUUGGAAUGAUGGGAAUUUAAACCUCUUCCAGAGUAUCAAUUGGAGGGCAAGUCUGGUGCCAGCAGCCGCGGUAAUUCCAGCUCCAAUAGCGUAUAUUAAAAUUGUUGCAGUUAAAAAGCUCGUAGUUGAAUUUCUGCUGCAUUGCUUUUGCUCCUUUACGAGUCUUUGCAUUGUGGCUUAUUUCGGACUUUGUUUUACAAUGUCCGGAUGUUUACUUUGAGAAAAUUAGAGUGCUCAAAGCAGGCUUUCGCCUUGAAUAGUUUAGCAUGGAAUAAUAAAGUAGGACUUUGGUUCUAUUUUGUUGGUUUUAGGUACCAAAGUAAUGGUUAAUAGGAACAGUUGGGGGCAUUCGUAUUUAACUGUCAGAGGUGAAAUUCUUAGAUUUGUUAAAGACGAACUACUGCGAAAGCAU